UACGUAGGUGGCGAGCGUUGUCCGGAAUUACUGGGCGUAAAGGGUGCGUAGGCGGAAUAUUAAGUCAGAUGUGAAACUCCCGGGCUUAACUUGGGAACUGCAUUUGAAACUGAUAUUCUAGAGUGCAGGAGAGGGAAGCGGAAUUCCUAGUGUAGCGGUGAAAUGCGUAGAUAUUAGGAAGAACACCAGUGGCGAAGGCGGCUUUCUGGACUGUAACUGACGCUGAGGCACGAAAGCGUGGGGAG
rnacentral:rRNA from 1 species